AUGGUUAUCUCACCACAUCACCAUUUAACUCAAAGACAAGCGCAGAUCCUUCCUAAGCAUGUCCAUUACUAUUUGGCAGCGCCGGAGACUCUUUCCUAGAACUGUAUCCACCUUUUCCAGCCCACCGGAGCACCUGAAGGCUGAACUAAUUUACGCAAGAUAAGUCAUCAACUGCCGAGCCGAGAAGUUCGUGACGAGUCGAAUUUACUCUCAACAGUGAUCAAUUCCUCUCCGACCUUCAUGACAUUCCUUACUCGUUGAGAUGUUACGUCUUCUCUCCGACUGUACAUUAUCUUCAAGUUCUAUUCGACAUUUGAUCCGGUUUAUUCACUUCAACUGAUUCUACUUCGCAAAGAAGAAGGAAGUUACAUAUGUGACAGUUACUGAUAUCACUUGUUAUGCUACCUGAUUGGUUUUUUGACAUGGACAGCA